rnacentral:rRNA from 1 species
ACGCUCGACACCUACGGGGGCAGCAGUAGGGAAUCUUCCGCAAUGGACGAAAGUCUGACGGAGCAACGCCGCGUGAACGAUGAAGGUUUUCGGAUCGUAAAGUUCUGUUGUUAGGGAAGAACAAACUUCGUUUGAAUAAGGCGGAGUCAUGACGGUACCUAACGAGAAAGCCACGGCUAACUACGUGCCAGCAGCCGCGGUAAUCUGAGCGGGCUGGCAAGGC